AAGCCAUGCAUGUCUAAGUACACGCCUUAACACGGCUAAACUGCGAAUGGCUCAUUAAAUCAGUUAUGGUUCCUUARAUCGUACAAUCCUACUUGGAUAACUGUGGCAAUUCUAGAGCUAAUACAUGUCGCACAGCUCCGACCCUUGCGGGGAAKAGCGCUUUUGUUAGCCCAAAACCAACGCGGCGGUCGUUCACGCGGCCGUCGCUCCACUAUGGUGAAUCUGAACAACUUUGUGCCGAUCGCACGGCCUUUGCGCCGGCGACGCAUCUUUCAAGUGUCUGCCCUAUCAACUUUCGAUGGUACGUGCUAUGCCUACCAUGGUGAUAACGGGUWACGGGGAAUCAGGGUUCGAUUCCGGAGARGGAGCAUGANAUACGGCUACCACAUCCAAAGAAGGCANCARGCGCGCAAAUUACCCAAUCCCGACACGGGGAGGUWGUGACGAAAAAUAACAAUACRGGACUCUUUCGARGCCCCGUAAUUGGAAUGAGUACANUUUAAAUCCUUUAACAAAGAUCCAUUGGAAGGCAARUCUGGUGCCAACCAACCGCGGUWAUUCCAYCUCCAMUAACGUAUAUUAAAUUGCUGCAGUUAAAAACUCCUUAUUGGAUCUCCGGUUCAGCUUGUUGUCCGCCUCCSGGCGGUCACUACUCCUUCCUAACCWCMMCCGGUUGUCCGUCCCUGGUGCUC
rnacentral:rRNA from 1 species